GAUGAACGCUGGCGGCGUGCCUAACACAUGCAAGUCGAGCGAGGGUUUGCUCAGUAUUGAGUAUUCUAAGACUAGAAUGUUCAAUUCUGAGCAAAACCAAGCGGCGGACGGGUGAGUAACGCGUGGGUAACCUGCCCUAUACACAUGGAUAACAUACUGAAAAGUUUACUAAUACAUGAUAAUAUAUAUUUGCGGCAUCGCAGAUAUAUCAAAGUGUUAGCGGUAUAGGAUGGACCCGCGUCUGAUUAGCUAGUUGGUGAGAUAACUGCCCACCAAGGCGACGAUCAGUAGCCGACCUGAGAGGGUGAUCGGCCACAUUGGAACUGAGACACGGUCCAAACUCCUACGGGAGGCAGCAGUGGGGAAUAUUGCACAAUGGGCGAAAGCCUGAUGCAGCAACGCCGCGUGAACGAUGAAGGUCUUCGGAUCGUAAAGUUCUGUUGCAGGGGAAGAUAAUGACGGUACCCUGUGAGGAAGCCCCGGCUAACUACGUGCCAGCAGCCGCGGUAAUACGUAGGGGGCUAGCGUUAUCCGGAUUUACUGGGCGUAAAGGGUGCGUAGGUGGUCCUUCAAGUCGGUGGUUAAAGGCUACGGCUCAACCGUAGUAAGCCGCCGAAACUGGAGGACUUGAGUGCAGGAGAGGAAAGUGGAAUUCCCAGUGUAGCGGUGAAAUGCGUAGAUAUUGGGAGGAACACCAGUAGCGAAGGCGGCUUUCUGGACUGCAACUGACACUGAGGCACGAAAGCGUGGGUAGCAAACAG
rnacentral:rRNA from 1 species